CAGAGGGAAGCGAGACCGCGAGGUGGAGCAAACCCCUAAAAAUGGUCUCAGUUCGGAUUGCAGGCUGCAACCCGCCUGCAUGAAGUUGGAAUUGCUAGUAAUCGCGGAUCAGCAUGCCGCGGUGAAUACGUUCCCUGGCCUUGUACACACCGCCCGUCACACCAUGGGAGCCGGUAAUACCCGAAGUCAGUAGCCUAACCGCAAGGGGGGCGCUGCCGAAGGUAGGAUUGGCGACUGGGGUGAAGUCGUAACAAGGUACC
rnacentral:rRNA from 1 species